rnacentral:rRNA from 1 species
AAUGAACGCUGGCGGCAGGCCUAACACAUGCAAGUCGAACGGAUCCUUCGGGAUUAGUGGCGGACGGGUGAGUAACGCGUGGGAACAUACCCUUUGGUACGGAAUAGCCUCGGGAAACUGGGAGUAAAACCGUAUGUGGUCGAGAGACGAAAGAUUUAUCGCCAAAGGAUUGGCCCGCGUUGGAUUAGGUAGUUGGUGGGGUAAGGGCCUACCAAGCCGACGAUCCAUAGCUGGUUUGAGAGGAUGAUCAGCCACACUGGGACUGAGACACGGCCCAGACUCCUACGGGAGGCAGCAGUGGGGAAUCUUAGACAAUGGGGGAACCCCUGAUCUAGCCAUGCCGCGUGAUCGAUGAAGGCCUUAGGGUUGUAAAGAUCUUUCAGGUGGGAAGAUAAUGACUGUACCACCAGAAGAAGCCCCGGCUAACUCCGUGCCAGCCGCCGCGGUAA